CAGCCGCCACGGUAAAACGGAGGGUGCAAGCGUUACUCGGAAUUACUGGGCGUAAAGCGUGCGUAGGUGGUGGUUUAAGUCCGUUGUGAAAGCCCUGGGCUCAACCUGGGAAUUGCAGUGGAUACUGGGUCACUAGAGUGUGGUAGAGGAUAGUGGAAUUUCCGGUGUAGCAGUGAAAUGCGUAGAGAUCGGAAGGAACAUCUGUGGCGAAGGCGACUAUCUGGGCCAACACUGACACUGAGGCACGAAAGCGUGGGGAGCAAACAGGAUUAGAUACCCCUGUAGUCCCUGUCUCUUAUAC
rnacentral:rRNA from 1 species